rnacentral:rRNA from 1 species
UUGAUCCUGGCUCAGAAUGAACGCUGGCGGCGUGCCUAACACAUGCAAGUCGAGCGAGAAAGUCCCUUCGGGGAGCGAGUACAGCGGCGGACGGGUGAGUAACGCGUGGACGAUCUACCCAAGGAUUCGGGAUAAGCGUUGCGAAAGCGGGGCUAAUACCGAAUGGUCUGGGCAUUUUGAAAUGUGCCUGGUAAAGGUGGCCUCUGAUUCAAGCUAUCGUCUUUGGAUGGGUCCGCGUCCCAUUAGCUUGUUGGUAGGGUCAUGGCCUACCAAGGCGACGAUGGGUAGCUGGUCUGAGAGGAUGAUCAGCCACACUGGGACUGGAACACGGCCCAGACUCCUACGGGAGGCAGCAGUGGGGAAUAUUGGGCAAUGGGCGCAAGCCUGACCCAGCAACGCCGCGUGAGGGAAGAAGGUCUUCGGAUCGUAAACCUCAGUCAGGAGGGAAGACAUGGGUUGUCCUGAACAGGGAUGGCCUUUGACGGUACCUCCAGAGGAAGCACCGGGCAACUCCGUGCCAGCAGCCGCGGUAAUACGGAGGGUGCAAGCGUUAUUCGGAAUCACUGGGCGUAAAGCGCACGUAGGCGGCUUUGCCAGUCAGGUGUGAAAGCCCUCGGCUCAAACCGAAGGCAUUGCACUUGAAACUGUAGAGC